rnacentral:rRNA from 1 species
UACGUAGGUGGCAAGCGUUAUCCGGAUUUAUUGGGCGUAAAGGAAACGCAGGCGGUCUUUUAAGUCUGAUGUGAAAGCCUUCGGCUUAACCGGAGUAGUGCAUUGGAAACUGGGAGACUUGAGUGCAGAAGAGGGGAGUGGAACUCCAUGUGUAGCGGUGAAAUGCGUAGAUAUAUGGAAGAACACCAGUGGCGAAAGCGGCUCUCUGGUCUGUAACUGACGCUGAGGUUCGAAAGCGUGGGUAGCAAACAGG